rnacentral:lncRNA from 1 species
CGGCGCUGGUGGAAGUGGCGGCAGCGCUGGCUCGGCCCGUCGUUCUCCACAGGUGUACCGUGGCGGUGGGCUCGCGCUGGGAUGAGCGCGCGGUGCCGAGCCGCGGAGUGGAGUCAUGGCCAGCACAGUGGUAGCAGUCGGAUUGACCAUUGCUGCUGCAGGAUUUGCAGGCCGUUAUGUUUUACAAGCCAUGAAGCAUGUGGAGCCUCAAGUAAAACAAGUUUUUCAGAGCCUACCAAAAUCUGCAUUCGGUGGUGGGUACUACAGAGGUGGAUUUGAACCCAAAAUGACAAAACGGGAAGCAGCAUUAAUAUUAGGUGUAAGUCCUACUGCCAAUAAAGGGAAGAUCAGGGACGCUCAUCGCCGGAUUAUGCUAUUAAAUCACCCAGACAAGGGAGGAUCUCCUUAUAUAGCAGCCAAAAUCAAUGAAGCUAAAGACUUACUAGAAGGACAAGCUAAAAAAUAAAGUAAUCUGAUG